UACAGAGGGUGCAAGCGUUGUUCGGAAUUAUUGGGCGUAAAGGGCGUGUAGGCGGUCUUGUAAGUCUUCUGUGAAAUCUACGGGCUUAGCCUGUAACGUGCAGAGGAAACUGUGAGACUAGAGUGUCGGAGAGGAUAGGGGAAUACCCAGUGUAGAGGUGAAAUUCGUAGAGAUUGGGUGGAACACCAGUGGCGAAGGCGCCUGUCUGGCUGACAACUGACGCUGAGACUCGAAAGCAUGGGGAGCAAACAGG
rnacentral:rRNA from 1 species